AAUUGUGUGUGCUUCCUUUUUACCUUUCUCUUUUACUCUCAGCAGACCACUCAAAUGAUGAUGAGCUGCCAAGCUAUAAAUCCUUGAAGAUUCUCUGGCCAGGAAAGCUAUGAAAAAGGAGAGAACUGGUAGGGAGAAAAGAUAGGAGAGCAACACACAUCUUUGCUUCAGGGAUCCAAGGAGGACCACCACAUGAUGAUUUGAAGCUGAACACACCUAUGUCUUGGCUUAUGUCUACACAUCAAGGAAUCAGCUGAGCAGGAAGACUGCCUUGAAGAAACAGAAUCUGCUAUAAGAAUACUAUCAGGAAAGAAUGGUCAAGUCAGGUGAAACCGCUGCUAUUGUAUGACUUACUACUGUGUCCAGUGAUGACCCACUAUGAGAUAAAGAUUUCACUCAUAUAAACUAUCUACAUGGCUGAAAUAAUCGUGUACCUGGACUAUUUGUGGCUGCCUUUUCCAGCACCUUCCUGUGGACCGCUCCAGGGCACUCUCUAGAAGCCAGAAUGGACUCCUGCUGAUUCUCCCG